AGCAGCCGUGGUAAUUCCAGCUCCAAUAGCGUAUAUUAAAGUCGUUGCAGUUAAAAAGCUCGUAGUCGAAUUUCGGGGUUCUACCGUUGGUCGGGCUUUGUCUGUACUGACGUGUAGAAUUUCUACCUUCUGGGGAACCAUCAUGUUAUUAAUUUAACGUGGUGGGAAACCAGGACCUUUACCUUGAAAAAAUUAGAGUGUUCAAAGCAGGCUUACGUCUGAAUACAUUAGCAUGGAAUAAUAAAAUAGGACGGUGGUCCUGUUUUGUUGGUUUCUGAAUCACCGUAAUGAUUAAUAGGGAUAGUUGGGGGCAUUAGUAUUCAAUUGUCAGAGGUGAAAUUCUUGGAUUUAG
rnacentral:rRNA from 1 species